UAAAAAUCAAAAUACUUAUAAAUAAUGUGAAUAUUUAGUGGCGUUUGGAACCAAAACGCCGGAAAUUGUAAUUUAAAAAUUGAAGAAAACGGCGCCGUUUCAUUGACGAGUUUAGGGUUCGGUGGCGUUUUUUCUCAAAGCGCUGCAAAAAGCUGUAAGAUUAGUGGCGUUUUAGUUUAAGCGCCACAAAUAUAUUAAAAUUAAACGGCGUCGUUUUGAUGGGAUAUCGGUUUUGGGGUAUAUCCCCGCACCCAGCCCCAAAUCCCAUCUUUCAGUCAAAUCCCUAACCCUAAGUUCAGCGCAGCAUCUCCGAUUUCCCCUCUUCUGUUUUCUUCAUCUCUUUCAUCUUUCUGUUUGGGCGUUUCGCUUUAUUGCAAAAUAAACCAUUAAAAAGGCUUCAUACGACAUUAUAUUUGUUGAAAACAUUGAACAUUAUUUGCGGCAAAGAAGAGGGAGAACGUCGACGAACAUCUUAAGGGUUUUCGGUGUGUUCGACCGUUUUGUUAAUCCUCGUGAAGUUUUUGGUCAAUCCAUUUCAUUGCUCGUAUUUCAGUUUUCUUUAUCGUUCUGAAGGGUUUUCGGUGUGUUCGACUGUUUUGUUCAUCCUCGUGAAGUUUUUGGUCAAUCCAUUUCAUUGCUUUCAUUUCAGUUUUCUUCAUCGUUCUGAAGCAGCAGGCAGAAACAAAAAUUCACUCACACAGCCAGGUCGAGAAGUUUUGCAUGUGUAGCUGAGGCAGAGGAACUGUCGUCCGGUCAAAAAGUUGGACGCCUUCAACUUUUUGAAAUUACACAUAGGAAGAAAGAUGGAUCUCUCAUGACUCCUGAAGCUGGUGAAAUAAUAGAAAAACUAAAGGAUAAAAAGGCGGAGUACGAAGCGAUUGUUUCUAGUGAUAGUUCUGUUCAUCCUGAAGACAUUGAUAACCGGAUUAUUACUGAAGUUUUGGGUCCUGAAAGGUAUGGUUGGGUUCGAUUUCAAGGAUAUUUUGUUAGCCCAACCCAAUAUUUUGGAUCCAGCUCGUAGCAAUACAUGGCUUCGAGGACUCAGGCUCAAGCUGAAGUUCAGAGGUUAAAAGACCAGAUGACUCAGAUGCAAGCGACCACAGUUGAAGUUCAAAGGAAAUAUGAAGAACUCCAGCUACAACUUAAAGCAGA